rnacentral:rRNA from 1 species
AAUGAACGCUGGCGGCAGGCCUAACACAUGCAAGUCGAACGCCCCGCAAGGGGAGUGGCGCACGGGUGAGUAACGCAUGGGAAUAUGCCCUUCGGUUCGGAAUAACACAGGGAAACUUGUGCUAAUACCGGAUACGAUCUACGGAUGAAAGAUUUAUCGCCGAGGGAGUAGCCCGCGUAGGAUUAGCUAGUUGGUGAGGUAAUGGCUCACCAAGGCGACGAUCCUUAGCUGGUCUGAGAGGAUGAACAGCCACACUGGGACUGAGACACGGCCCAGACUCCUACGGGAGGCAGCAGUGGGGAAUAUUGGACAAUGGGCGAAAGCCUGAUCCAGCCAUGCCGCGUGAGUGAUGAAGGCCUUAGGGUUGUAAAGCUCUUUCGCCAGGGAAGAUAAUGACGGUACCUGGAAAAGAAGCCUCGGCUAACUCCGUGCCAGCCGCCGCCGUAACAC